AUUGAACGCUGGCGGCAUGCCUUACACAUGCAAGUCGAACGGCAGCACGGGAGCAAUCCUGGUGGCGAGUGGCGAACGGGUGAGUAAAGUAUCGGAACGUGCCCAGUCGUGGGGGAUAACGUAGCGAAAGUUACGCUAAUACCGCAUACGAUCUAUGGAUGAAAGCGGGGGAUCGCAAGACCUCGCGCGAUUGGAGCGGCCGAUAUCAGAUUAGGUAGUUGGUGGGGUAAAGGCUCACCAAGCCGACGAUCUGUAGCUGGUCUGAGAGGAUGACCAGCCACACUGGGACUGAGACACGGCCCAGACUCCUACGGGAGGCAGCAGUGGGGAAUUUUGGACAAUGGGCGAAAGCCUGAUCCAGCCAUGCCGCGUGCAGGAUGAAGGCCUUCGGGUUGUAAAGCUCUUUCGGCCGGGAAAAAAUCGCAUGGAUUAAUACUCUGUGUGGAUGAUGGUACCGGAAUAAGAAGCACCGGCUAACUACGUGCCAGCCGCCGCAGUAA
rnacentral:rRNA from 1 species